rnacentral:rRNA from 1 species
ACCUACGGGGGGCAGCAGUGGGGAAUUUUGGACAAUGGGCGCAAGCCUGAUCCAGCCAUGCCGCGUGAGUGAAGAAGGCCUUCGGGUUGUAAAGCUCUUUCAGCUGGAAAGAAAUCGUAUCUAUUAAUACUAGGUGCGGAUGACGGUACCAGCAGAAGAAGCACCGGCUAACUACGUGCCAGCAGCCGCGGUAAUACGUAGGGUGCGAGCGUUAAUCGGAAUUACUGGGCGUAAAGCGUGCGCAGGCGGCUUUUUAAGCCAGAUGUGAAAUCCCCGGGCUUAACCUGGGAACUGCAUUUGGAACUGGAAGGCUAGAGUGUAGCAGAGGGGGGUAGAAUUCCACGUGUAGCAGUGAAAUGCGUAGAGAUGUGGAGGAAUACCGAUGGCGAAGGCAGCCCCCUGGGCUAACACUGACGCUCAUGCACGAAAGCGUGGGGAGCAAACAGGCUUAGAUACCCCGGUAGA